rnacentral:rRNA from 1 species
GACGAACGCUGGCGGCGUGCCUAAUACAUGCAAGUCGAACGCUUCUUUUUCCACCGGAGCUUGCUCCACCGGAAAAAGAGGAGUGGCGAACGGGUGAGUAACACGUGGGUAACCUGCCCAUCAGAAGGGGAUAACACUUGGAAACAGGUGCUAAUACCGUAUAACAAUCGAAACCGCAUGGUUUUGAUUUGAAAGGCGCUUUCGGGUGUCGCUGAUGGAUGGACCCGCGGUGCAUUAGCUAGUUGGUGAGGUAACGGCUCACCAAGGCCACGAUGAAUAGCCGACCUGAGAGGGUGAUCGGCCACAUUGGGACUGAGACACGACCCAAACUCUUACGGGAGGCAGCAGUAGGGAAUCUUCGGCAAUGGACGAAAGUCUGACCGAGCAACGCCGCGUGAGUGAAGAAGGUUUUCGGAUCGUAAAACUCUGUUGUUAGAGAAGAACAAGGAUGAGAGUAACUGUUCAUCCCUUGACGGUAUCCAACCAGAAAGCCACGGCUAACUACGUGCCAGCAGCCGCAGUAA